AGUGAACGCUGGCGGCAGGCCUAACACAUGCAAGUCGAGCGGCAGCGCGUCCGACCACCCUCGGGUGGUCGGAUGGCGGCGAGCGGCGGACGGGUGGGGAAUGCAUCGGAAUCUGCCUCGUUGUGGGGGAUAACGUAGGGAAACUUACGCUAAUACCGCAUACGACCUACGGGUGAAAGUGGGGGACCUUCGGGCCUCACGCGAUGAGAUGAGCCGAUGCCGGAUUAGCUAGUUGGCGGGGUAAAGGGCCCACCAAGGCGACGAUCCGUAGCUGGUCUGAGAGGAUGAUCAGCCACACUGGAACUGAGACACGGUCCAGACUCCUACGGGAGGCAGCAGUGGGGAAGUAUUGGACAAUGGGGGCGAACCCUGAUCCAGCCAUGCCGCGUGUGUGAAGAAGGCCUUC
rnacentral:rRNA from 1 species